AGUGAACGCUGGCGGUAGGCCUAACACAUGCAAGUCGAACGGCAGCACAGUAAGAGCUUGCUCUUACGGGUGGCGAGUGGCGGACGGGUGAGGAAUACAUCUGAAUCUACUUUUUCGUGGGGGAUAACGUAGGGAAACUUACGCUAAUACCGCAUACGACCUACGGGUGAAAGCAGGGGAUCUUCGGACCUUGCGCGAUUGAAUGAGCCGAUGUCGGAUUAGCUAGUUGGCGGGGUAAAGGCCCACCAAGGCGACGAUCCGUAGCUGGUCUGAGAGGAUGUGCCCCCACACUGGAACGGAACCACGCCCCAGCCUCCUCGGGGGGGCAGCAGUGGGGAAUUUUGGACAAUGGGCGAAAGCCUGAACCACCCAUCCCGGGGGGUUAAAAAAGGCCUUCGGGUUGUAAGCCCCUUUUUUGGGAAAAAAAAACCAGCAGGUUAACCCCCCGCUGUUCUGCCGGUCCCAAAAAAAUAACCCCCGGCUACCUUCGUC
rnacentral:rRNA from 1 species